AGGUGGCAAGCGUUAUCCGGAAUGAUUGGGCGUAAAGGGUGCGCAGGCGGAACCAUAAGUCUGAAGUAAAAGCCAUCGGCUCAACCGAUGUAAGCUUUGGAAACUGUGGAACUAGAGUGCAGGAGAGGGCAGUGGAAUUCCAUGUGUAGCGGUAAAAUGCGUAGAUAUAUGGAGGAACACCAGUGGCGAAGGCGGCUGUCUGGCCUGUAACUGACGCUGAGGCACGAAAGCGUGGGGAGCAA
rnacentral:rRNA from 1 species